CCUACGGGGGGCAGCAGUGAGGAAUAUUGGUCAAUGGACGAGAGUCUGAACCAGCCAAGUAGCGUGAAGGAUGACUGCCCUAUGGGUUGUAAACUUCUUUUAUAUGGGAAUAAAAUGUUCCACGUGUGGGAUUUUGUAUGUACCAUAUGAAUAAGGAUCGGCUAACUUCGUGCCAGCAGCCGCGGUAAUACGGGGGAUCCGAGCGUUAUCCGGAUUUGUUGGGUUUAAAGGGAGCGGAGGGGGAUUGUUAAGUCAGUUGUGAAAGUUUGCGGCUCAACCGUAAAAUUGCAGUUGAAACUGGCAGGCUUGAGUACAGUAGAGGUGGGCGGAAUUCGAGGUGUAGCGGUGAAAUGCUUAGAUAUCACGAAGAACUCCGAUUGCGAAGGCAGUUCACUGGACUGAAACUGACACUGAGGUUCGAAAGUGUGGGUAUCAAACAGGAUUAGAUACCCGAGUAGUC
rnacentral:rRNA from 1 species